UUCUCUCUCUGUUCUAAUUUUUGUCUUUUUAUGAGCAGCCCUAUUUUCAUUUUUUUAAGCAAAAGCGGCAGUGAAUCGGAUCUGAAAGAUAUACCAAAGAUUACUUGUGUGGGUGGAUAAAUGGCCAAUUUGUAUUUUGUUUUUUUUAUUGAAUUUUUCGAAGUGUUGAUUCAGGGAAUACCCAUUUUCUGGUAUUUUAGUUUGGUCACUUUGAGUUUUUUUUUUCUUCGUACUUAUGUUUUUGUUGAAUCUUGGGAUUACUCUUGCCUUUUGAGUUUUGUUUGUUUUUUUUCAAUACAAAUAGUAAUUUUAAAGAAUAUCUUAUUUUAUUAUAUAAUAUUUAAACUAGCAGUAAUUUAGAAUUGAUGUAUGUUAUGCCAUAGAAAAAAAAGAGGAGCAGAAGAAAGAGCAAAUUUUGGACGGCAACAGUCUAUGAAUUUCUCGGGGACACGCAUAUGUUGUAUCUAAAAUUUUGUUUACCUUCCCUUCACCGUACAUUUGAUGGAAAACAUUCUUUUCAGGACGUUAUGCAAUACUAAAGACAUUACAAAAGAGUUUGAUGGUAAUUAAAGAAAUAUUUUUCUUGAGUGGUAGCACAAACUUGUAAGGUGGGCUUUCUAAGACAAUGUAAGUAACGAUAGAGGGUGACGAGGGUGCAUAUUGACUUAGCCGAAGCAUUGGACUGAUGUCUCUUUCUUUGUUGAUUAACUUAGCCGAAGCAUUAAACUGUGGAAGAAUUUAUCAAUUUGAAAUGUUUCCUCAAAGGGUAUAUGCAAGAUCACCACAUCAAGUUUGAUUUAUGGUGCUUAAAUGAGAUGAUCAAGUAUAUUCAAUGUCGUGGAACCAUGGCCAGAAGAUUGAAUUGUUCAUCUGAUGAACAUAGAAACAAGGAAUGGAAGACGAAUUAUGGCGUUCUCUAUUGAAUAUGCUGAAACGAUUGGAAGUGAACAUGAUUAUUUUAGUUUUUCGAAAUAACAAUCUAAGUUCAGUAUAUAAGUUUUACUAUACCUAGUGAAGGGUAUCAAAUCGAACAGGAUAUGUACAUAAUUUAUUUUGUUAUUGUGAUAUAAUAUUCUUAGCCGUUCUUGUAUUAUCUUGAGUUUAAUAAAAAUACAUGUCAUUGUA